UUGAGGAGCUGGAUGUUCUGCUGUCCACUUUCCCUGAAGAUGGUAGGCCACUUGUGUUUCUUGGAGAUUUCAACAAACACCAAGACAAGCCCCAGGCCACUGAACUUCAUGCUCUUCUGGCCUCGUUUGACUUGGAAAGACUAAGCACUACUACACUUCACAGAUCGGGCAACCAGCUGGACCUCAUUUUUACAUGCCAGCAUGUAUGACACCACCCAGCCCCUGGCUCUGAUGUUUUUUGUGAACAUCAGACUGACCUCAGGGCGGCUGAGAGGAGAUGGUGGAAAUCUAAAGAUCCAGCAGAUCUGGAACAAGCUGCUGGAUGACAAUCAGUCAGGCUUCAAAAGUGGACAUUCCACCGAGACUACCCUGCUGUCUGUCACUGAGUCGCUGAGACAGGGGAGAGCUGGAUCCAGAUCAUCCAUCCUGAUUCUAAUGGACCUUUCUGCAGCCUUUGACACAGUCAACCAUCAGAUCCUACUCUCCACCCUCUCUACUCUGGGCAUCACAGGAACUGUGCUUUACUGGUUUAUAUCUAUCAGGUAUGUCCUUCAAGGUAGCCUGGAGUGGUGAGGUGUCCAAAUCACAUCAGCUACUUACUGGGGUACCUCAGGGCUCAGUGCUUGGACCACUUCUCUUCUCUAUAUACACAACAUCACUGGGACCCAUCAUUCAGGCACAUGGGUUCUCUUACCACUGCUACGCCAGAGACGCACAACUCUACUUGUCUUUCCAGCCCAACGACACCAUGGUGACUGCUUAAGUCUCGGCCUGUUUGGCAGACAUCUCACCCUGGAUGAAGGAGCACCACCUGCAACUUAACCCAGUGAAAACUGAGCUCCUCGUCUUUCCAGCCAACUCUGCUGUUGAACACAAUAUCACUGUUCAGCUGAGUUCAACUACAGUAACACCGUCCAAAACAGUCAGAAAUCUAGGGGUAACCAUCGAUAACCAACUAAAUUUCAUAGACCACAUCUCAAAGACAGCACGUUCAUGUAGAUUUGCACUCUACAAUAUCAGGAAAAUAAGACCCUUCCUCUCUGAACAUGUCACACAACUUCUUGUUCAGUCACUUGUCAUAACUAGACUGAACUACUGUAACGCUCUCAUUGCAGGCCUCCCUUCUUGCGCAAUUAGGCCCCUGUAAAUUAUCCAGAAUUAAUUAACCAAAGAGAGCGCAUGUUACACCACUCCUAGUCUCUCCUCACUGGCUGCCGGUUGAUUCAUAAAUCAAAUUCAAGGCUCUAAUGCUGGCAUACAGAACAGUCACUGGGUCUGCUCCAGCAUAACUAAAAUCAUCUCUGCAGAGCUACGUUCCCACCAGAAGCCUGCGGUCGGCUAAUGAGUGGCGCCUUGUUGUACCAACAUGAAGAGGCACCAAAACACUUUCCCGGGCUUUCGGUUUCACUGUACCACGUUGGUGGAAUGACCUUCUCCAUCCGUGAAGCAGACUCACUUUCUGUCUUCAAAAAAUGUCUAAAAACGCAUCUUUUCCAUGAGCACUUAACCAUGCACUCAUUAAAAAAAAAAUUAUAUAUAUACUUGUUGUACUCUAAUCUGUCUUUGAUACUAUUACUCUGAUGCAAGUGAAACUUUGUAAUGCAGCACUUUUUGUACUACUGUCUUCUUAAGGUGAAUUGCUUAUGAUGUAUUAUUCCUCUUUUGUAAGUCGCUUUGGAUAAAAGCGUCUGCCAAAUGAAUAAAUGUAAAAUGUAAAUGUGAUUCAGAUCCGAUGACUGGGAAGGCCACUGAAGAACAGUGAAGUCAUUGACACGUUCAUAAAACCAGUUUGAAAUGACUUUUGCUUUGUGACAUAGUGCAUUAUCAUGCUGAAAACAUGAAGGGAUGCACAGGGUCAGCAACAAUACUCAAACAGGCUGUGGCAUUCAAGCAAUGAUUGAUUGGUAUUAGCGGGCCCAAAGUUUGCCAAGAAAACAAUCCCUACCCCAUUACACCACCGCCGCCAACAUGGACUGUUGACGCAAGGCAGGUUGGGUCCAUGGAUUCAUGCAGUAGGCACCAAAUUCUGACCCUACCAUCUGGGUGCCUCAGCAGAAAUUGAGAUUCAUCAGACCAGGCUACAUUUUUCCAGUAUUCAACUGUCAAGUUUUGGUAAGCCUGUGCCCACUGCAGCCUCUGCUUUCUGUUCUUGGCUGACAGAAGUGGAACCCAACAUGGUCUUCUGCUGUUGUAGCCCAUCCGCCUCAAGGUUCAACAUGUUGUGCAUUCUGAGAUGCUAUACUUCUCACCACAGUUGUACAGAGCGAUUAUCUGAGUUACUGUAGACUUUGUCAGUUUGAACAAGUCUGGCCAUUCUCCGUUGACCUCUCUCAUCAACCAGGCAUUACCGUCCGCAGAACUGCUGCUCACUGGAAAAUCCCAGGAGAUCAGCAAUUACAGAAAUCUUCAAACCAGCCCAUCUGGCAGCCCAACAAUCAUGCCACGGUUGAAUCAUUGAGAUCAAAAUGUUUUCCCCAUUCUUAUGGUUGAUGUGAACAAUAACUGAAGAUUAUUGGCUGAUUGGAUAAUCACAUAAAAAGUAGGUGUACAGGUGUUCCUAAUUGUGUGCUUAGUAAGUGUAUAAAACAUAUGUCAAUUUAACUGUAUUUUGUAUUUUUGAAACCAAACCUCCCUUAUAAAAAUCAAGAGCUCGUGGCAAAUUUGGCACAAACUUGCCGCAAAUUUGCCACUGAUUUUAUUCGCAUGCAAAUGAGCAUUGCGGCAAAUUGUCCAUUGUUGCCAUUGUUGUUCUGGUAAACAUCUGCGGUGAAUCAAAAGCUCAUUUGCAUGUGUAAAUAUUGAGUGGCAAAUUUGCUGCAAAUUUGUGGCAAGUUUGUGGCUAGUUUGCCAGAACUCAAAACCUAAAUAAUAAAUCAAAACCUUAUAGUUACUGAGAUAUCGCCCUUGUGACAACUAGCCCCAGUCUCCCCUGUAUUGUAAUGAAGUAUUGAUAAACCAAGUACGUUGUAAUGAUGUAAAACCAGAUGUAUAGGAUGUUGUUAUAUACACAAUGUAACAAGUGUUUCUGUUUUACUGCAGAGUGAAUGUGUGGGUGGAAUUCCUUAUUUGCAUAGGUUUUGUAUAGUAAAUGAUGUAUAGUUUUGUUUAAUUUUUAAAAUAGAGAAUUUAAAUAGGCACUAACAUUCCAUUUUAGGUCAUGCCUAAAAUAUCAUGAUGCCCUGCUUCUUAGCAAAUAGAAUAGCAUAUACUGUAUCGUCUACAACAGGAGCACAUCAUGUAAAAGUAUUUUUCAGAGAAACUUUAUAAGGAAUGUAAUUUCCACAAAAAUAAAUAUACAAAAAAUAGCCUAAAAUUGUUAUACAGAAAUUGAAAACAUCAGAGAUGUCUAUUUAAGACACUGUAUGCAUGAUUUACACUUUUAUUUAAUUAAUAAAGGUCA